rnacentral:rRNA from 1 species
AGAGUUUGAUCAUGGCUCAGGACGAACGCUGGCGGCGUGCUUAACACAUGCAAGUCGAGCGGGGAUGCAGGAAGUUUUCGGACGGAGAGCAUUUCAGCGGCGGACGGGUGAGUAACGCGUGAGCAAUCUGUCCCAGACAGGGGAAUAACAGAUGGAAACAUCUGCUAAUACCGCAUAAGACCACGAAGUCACAUGGCUUUGGGGUAAAAGGCGAAAGCCGGUUUGGGGUGAGCUCGCGUCCGAUUAGCUAGUUGGCGGGGUAACGGCCCACCAAGGCGACGAUCGGUAGCCGACCUGAGAGGGUGACCGGCCACACUGGAACUGAGAUACGGUCCAGACUCCUACGGGAGGCAGCAGUGGGAAUAUUGGGCAAUGGGGGAAACCCUGACCCAGCAACGCCGCGUGAGGGAAGAAGGUUUUCGGAUUGUAAACCUCUGUCCUUGGUGAAGAAGGAAGUGACGGUAGCCAAGGAGGAAGCCCCGGCUAACUACGUGCCAGCAGCCGCGGUAAUACGUAGGGGGCGAGCGUUGUCCGGAAUGACUGGGCGUAAAGGGCGUGUAGGCGGCCGAUUAAGUCUGGAGUGAAAGUCCUGCUUUCAAGGUGGGAAUUGCUUUGGAAACUGGUUGGCUUGAGUGCGGAAGAGGUAAGUGGAAUUCCCAGUGUAGCGGUGAAAUGCGUAGAGAUUGGGAGGAACACCAGUGGCGAAGGCGACUUACUGGGCCGUAACUGACGCUGAGGCGCGAAAGCGUGGGGAGCGAACAGGAUUAGAUACCCUGGUAGUCCACGCGGUAAACGAUGAAUGCUAGGUGUAGGGGGUAUCGACCCCUCCUGUGCCGGAGUAAACACAAUAAGCAUUCCGCCUGGGGAGUACGGCCGCAAGGUUGAAACUCAAAGGAAUUGACGG